rnacentral:rRNA from 1 species
AUUGAACGCUGGCGGCAGGCCUAACACAUGCAAGUCGAGCGGCAGCGGGAGGAAGCUUGCUUCCUCGCCGGCGAGCGGCGGACGGGUGAGUAAUGUCUGGGAAACUGCCCGAUGGAGGGGGAUAACUACUGGAAACGGUGGCUAAUACCGCAUAAUCUCUAAGGAGCAAAGCAGGGGACCUUCGGGCCUUGCGCUAUCGGAUGAGCCCAUAUGGGAUUAGCUAGUAGGUGGGGUAAUGGCUCACCUAGGCGACGAUCCCUAGCUGGUCUGAGAGGAUGAUCAGCCACACUGGGACUGAGACACGGCCCAGACUCCUACGGGAGGCAGCAGUGGGGAAUAUUGCACAAUGGGCGCAAGCCUGAUGCAGCCAUGCCGCGUGUAUGAAGAAGGCCUUCGGGUUGUAAAGUACUUUCAGCGGGGAGGAAGGCGUUGAGGUUAAUAACCUCAGCAAUUGACGUUACCCGCAGAAGAAGCACCGGCUAACUCCGUGCCAGCAGCCGCGGUAAUAC